rnacentral:tRNA from 2 species
CGCUAAGAAGCUAAAUUCGGUAUAGCGUUAGCCUUUUAAGCUAAAGAUUGGUGACUCCGAACCACCCCUAGCGA